UUCCGGUUGAUCCCGCCGGAGGCUACCGCUAUUGGAGUUCGAUUAAGCCAUGCGAGUCGAGAGUCUUAGGGACUCGGCGCACCGCUCAGUAACACGUGGGUAACCUGCCCUAUGCUGGGGAAUAACCUCGGGAAACUGAGAAUAAUGCCCCAUAGCCCACUACGCCUGGAACGGUGAGUGGGUCAAAGCUCCGGCGGCAUAGGAUGGGCCUGCGCCGUAUCAGGUUGUAGGGGGUGUAAAGUACCCUCUAGCCAUCAACGCGUACGGGUGUUGGGAGACAUUGCCCGGAGAUGGAUUCUGAGACACGAAUCCAGACCCUACGGGGUGCAGCAGGCGCGAAAACUUGGCAAUGCGAGCAAUCGUGACCAGGGAACUCCAAGUGCGUAGGGUAAGACCUACGCUUUUCUUGACUCUUCAAAGGUCUUGGAAUAAGGGGUGGGUAAGGACGGUGCCAGCCGCCGCGGUAAUACCGGCGCCUCAAGUGGUAGUCGCUUUUAUUGGGCCUAAAACGUCCGUAGCCGGUCUGGUGCAUUCGUGGGUAAAUCAACCCGCUCAACGGGUUGAAUUCUGCGAGCACGGCCAGACUUGGGACCGGGAGAGGUGUGGGGUACUCUCAGGGUAGGGGUAAAAUCCUGUCAUCCUGAGAGGACCACCUGUUGCGAAGGCGCCACACUAGAACGGAUCCGACGGUCAGGGACGAAACCUAGGGGCACGAACCGGAUUGGAUACCCGGGUAGUCCUAGGUGUAAACGCUGUGGACUUGAUGUUGGGGGCGCUCCGAGCGCUUUCAGUGUCGAAGCGAAGGUGAUAAGUCCACUGCCUGGGGAGUACGGUCGCAAGGCUGAAACUUAAAGGAAUUGGCGGGGGAGCACUGCAACCUGAGGAUUGUGCGGUUUAAUUGGAUUCAACGCCGGA
rnacentral:rRNA from 1 species